GAUGAAGAACGCAGCGAAAUGCGAUAAGUAAUGUGAAUUGCAGAAUUCAGUGAAUCAUCGAAUCUUUGAACGCACCUUGCGCUCCUUGGUAUUCCGAGGAGCAUGCCUGUUUGAGUGUCAUGAAAUUCUCAACCUUUUCAGCUUUCUUUGUUGAUCAGGCUUGGAUGUGGGAGUAUGCGGGCUUCUCAGAAGUCGGCUCUCCUGAAAUGCAUUAGCGGGACCUUUGUUGCCUGGCUUUGGUGUGAUAAUUAUCUACGCCAUUGUAGUCAAGCAGCUUAAAAUGAGGUUUCAGCUUCUAACCGUCUCCCCUGAGACAACUUUUUGACAAUUUGACCUCAAAUCAGGUAGGACUACCCGCUGAACUUAAGCAUAUCAAUAAGCGGAGG
rnacentral:misc_RNA from 1 species